rnacentral:lncRNA from 1 species
AAUGUCAUAUGUACGAGUAUAUUAACGAAAAUGAAGAGUAUACAAAGCUUGUAACAGUUUAUACUAGUGCGCGUAUCAAAAAAGCGGUCUAAAAUGAAAAUAUGUGAAUGCACGCGUACACUCGUAUGUAGACGAUGAGUUCGCGCAACAGUGUGGACAUAAAAUGGACUGUGCGAAUAUAAGAAUUUCAUUGAAAUGACGCAGACGACGGGAUAUGCCAAAAAAUAAUGUAUGUUACACAUUCGUAUGGGCGGCGGUAAGAGCAUGCAUGGUUAUUGGCUUUGAAUUGCGGCCAAAAUAUCUUGGCGAUGACAGGUAAUGGACAGAGGCGCAAACAAACAGAUAUUUCUGGGUUGAAUGCGAAAUAUUUGAUUAAAAGCAAUUCAAUUGAAACAAAUAAUAUUCACCAUGUAAAUUUAUAAUAAAAUCAAAUGAAAAAUACGAUAUAUGAUGUAAUAAAUGAGUUAAAUUAAAGCUUG